ensembl:lncRNA
UGUAACUCAAUAAAUAUGAGCAAAAAUAUGAAUAGGCAAUGUGCAGAAAAAUUCAAUUGCCAAUACACAUAAAAAUAUGUUCCACUUUAUUCACACUGAAUUUUGUUCCAUUAAAUAAAUGUAAAUCAGAAUUUUAAAAGUCCUAUCAAUCAGCAAAAAUUUGGAAAUUUGUAACACCCACUGGUGGUGAAAGGUGGGAAAAACAGGGAUUCACAUAUACUCUAGUGGGAAUAUAAAUGGGUAUAAGGACGUGAUUAAGCAUUCUAAGAUGCCUAAGGACACAGAGUAAAUUCUUUUUUUUAAAGAUUUUUUUGGAUUUUUUUGGUGUGGACUAUUUUUUUUUUUAAACUCUUUAUUGAAUUUGUUACAAUACUCCUUCUGUUUUAUGUUUUUGGUUUUUUUCUUUUGUUGGUCUGAGGUAUGUGGGAUCUCAGCUCCCUGACCAGGGAAGUCCCCAGAGUAAAUUCUUUCAUGUGCAUAUUCUUUGUGUUGCCUGACCUACACUAUAGACCCUUACUCAUACACUAUAGACCCUCAAUUCAAAACCUGUUAAAUAACAAAAAUACAUUAAUUUUUUCACUUGCAUAAGAAAACAAUCUAGCUCCUGUCCUAUCAAAAUGAAGAAAUGUUUAUAUAUUCAGUAGUAAGGAUAAUUACUAAUUUGUAUAGUGUUGUAUAACUUAUAGAAUUCAUUCUUGUCCAUACUUAAUCUCAGAUUGUGGUGGAGUAAUCAAAGUUCUCAUCAACUUUUAGAAAUGGACUACAUAUAAGGAAUACUUAUGAUAUUACACCCUGGGAUGGGGAACAGACUUAAAUGGAAGCUGUAAAAUCCUCAGAGGAAAGGUGUCGGAGGGUGGUGAAAUGAAUGCUGAGUAGAAGAGAAAUGGGUGAGAAACACUGGCUUGUGAAUUUAGAAGUUCUGGUAGGUCCAGUUCCCCAUAUGACUAUGAUUCAACAGAGCACACAUAUGCCGUGUUUUACUGUAAAGGCACUCACCUAGCAUACAUUAUGUGGUUAGUCUCUGGGUAAUUUAGAUAAUUAAACAUAAAGUUUCAUCUACUGUUAUCUGUUGGGUGAUCCCUGAUUGUUACUGUUUUCUGUAAGUCACCCCUAGUCUACUCACAAGGAUUCACAUUUACUUUGGAUCCCAAAGUCAAUGCCAGUACUUAGAGUGGUCUCUGGUGGUCCAGUGGUUGGGGAUCUGCCUGUCAUUGCAGGGACAUGGGUUUGAGCCCAGGUCCAGAAAGAUCCCGUAUGCCGUGGGACAACUAAGCUUGUGUGCCACGACUGAGCUUGCUAGCUGCAGCUCAAGAAAUCUUGGGUCCAGCAACAAAGACCCAACUAAGACAAACAUUAAAAACAAGUAAUAAAAUUAAAACAUAUAUAUANNNNNNNNNNNNNNNNNNNNNNNNNNNNNNNNNNNNNNNNNNNNNNCAUACUGGAGUGGAUGUGUCUUAAGAUUUCAGUAGUCACCAAAAAUUACUCCUUGUGCUCCCCCAGGAGGGAGCAAUCAUAGGAUAGCCAAAGUUUAUUAGCUCUUUUACACCAGAAAUUUCUUUUAGAAAUCUUUAUUGAGGAUUGGCAGAUAGAAUUCAAUGUGGCAAAGAAAAAAACAGAAUGGGUCAGAGUCUCAGGAACUGACAUGGCCCUUGUGGUCCCUAUUAUCUGAUGAUGUUAGUGAUUUCACCUGUACAUCAUGCAUUUCUUUCCUGUUAAAAACUAGUAUCUAGAUAUAAUAUAUAAUAAAUACACACACACACACCUUAACAGCUGCUUCAGGGUGUGUGUGCCUUAACUUGAUGUCUUGGCACUCUUUGAAAUGAUCAUCUUGAGGGUUAGUGGUCUCUUAUUCUGGCUGGCCUAAACUUUUUGGAAAAUAGUAGACAGCCAAUAACACAGGUUGGUAAUACAGAGCUACAAAAUAUAUUGAACCUAAAGCUUUUAAUAAUAUAUUCUCAGCAUACCAUAGAAAAUUCUAUUGGAUAUUUAAGUGUUUAAGGAGCUCAGGCCUGGAGAGGUAGGUAUCUGUGGUGCUGAUCCCAGGCCACUCUAACUGCUUAAUUUAGAACUCAUGGCCCAUUACUUAUGGCGCUCAGCACAUCUGCCCCAUCUUUCACACCCUUCUAUUUGUAAUCAGGCUACACAAAGAACAAGAGUGGCUUGACCCCACGUAUAAAGAGACAAACAAAAUUUAAUUGUUAUUAAUAUAACUGCAUCUUUGACUAAUUCACACUAAGUUCAGUCUUCCAAAAAAUAAAUCUACUUCUUACCCAUCCUUGGAUAAAAUUCAUCUAAUUUUAUAUAUCACAAAGAAAGCUGAUUGUCAAUUUAUAGACUAAUGAGUUCUUUUCUUCACUUUUUCCCUAUGUAUA